GACAGAGGGUGCAAACGUUGUUCGGAAUUACUGGGCGUAAAGCGCGUGUAGGCGGCCCGGAAAGUCGGAUGUGAAAGCCCUGGGCUUAACCUAGGAAGUGCAUUCGAAACUGCUGGGCUUGAGUUCUGGAGAGGAAGGCGGAAUUCUCGGUGUAGAGGUGAAAUUCGUAGAUAUCGAGAGGAACACCGGUGGCGAAGGCGGCCUUCUGGACAGUUACUGACGCUGAGACGCGAAAGCGUGGGGAGCAAACAGG
rnacentral:rRNA from 1 species